rnacentral:tRNA from 1 species
GCGGGUGUAGCUCAAUGGUAGAGCCCCAGCCUUCCAAGCUGGCCAUGCGGGUUCGAUUCCCGUCACCCGCUCCA